GACAGAGGUGCCGAGCGUUAGGCGGAAUCACUGGGCUUAAAGCGUGUGUAGGCGGAUCGUUAAGUACCUUGUGAAAUCCCACGGCUCAACCGUGGAACUGCUGGGUAUACUGGCGGUCUUGAGCCACCUAGGGGCGAGCGGAACAAGCGGUGGAGCGGUGAAAUGCGUAGAUAUCGCUUGGAACGCCAACGGUGAAAACAGCUCGCUGGGGGGUGUGCUGACGCUGAGACACGAAAGCCAGGGGGAGCGAACGGGG
rnacentral:rRNA from 1 species